GAACAUUAAGUGCAGUAACAGAAUUAGGUUUCAUUGUAUCUUUAUGGUGGUUUUAUUUCCCCCUCUUACUCUAUAUCUCGCUAGAUGAUAAUCUUCUAUGGGAUUUACAAGUAGAUCAGAUAAAGGUUCAAUAACAGGUCCAGGUUUAGGUUCAAUAACAGUAUCUUGUUAUUGGAUAGGCUCCACCUCAAUUUGAUCAUUAUUUCCAGGAUUUAAAUUAGUUGGAAAAAGUUCAAAUUGUAUAAAAGAUCUAUUUUGAUCAUUUUCAAAGGUAGCAAUUUUUUUUCUUCAGUACAGGGCAUGUCCAUCUCAUUGAAGAUAACAUUCCUACUUAUUAUGACUCUAUAGCCUCCCGGAUCUUUCAACCAGAUUCUAUAACUUUUGACACCUUCACCAUAUCCUAAGAAAAUGCCUUUAACAAAUCUGGGCUCAAGUUUUCCUUCAUUUUGGUGUACAUAUGAAGCACAACCAAAAACCUAUAGUUUGGAAUAAUCAAUAGGAUAACCCUUCCAAACAUGAUUGGAUGUAUCAUAAUUCAAUGAUUUUGUGGGACACUUAUUUAUUAAAUAUGAGGUAGUUUUAACAGCUUCUUCUAGAACAGUUUUGGAAGACCUGAGAUUGUCAACAUGCAUCUCACAUUUUCUAACAAAGUCUUAUUCGUCCUUUCUACUCGCCCAUUAUGUUGUUGAUCAACUCAUAUGUUUAAGGAUCCCAUUAUCUUUACAGAAAUUAUCAAACUCUUCAUUGCAAAAUUCAAGGCCAUUUUCAGUUUUAAGAACUUUAACAUUUUUGUUUACUUGAUAUUCAUUUUGGAAGGUGUUAGAUUUAUUUUUUGAAAGAAUGAUCGAACUUUUUUUUUGAAUUAUCAUCAAUGAUAAGGAGGUAAUAUUUGUAACCAUAAUAAGUACUUAUAGUAACUGGUCCCCACAGAUCGGCAUCUAAGUAAUCAAGAAUAAACUUUAAGUUAUGAAUACCAGUAGCAAAAGGCAAUUUCUUUGUCUUCCCGUAGAUAAAGUGUUCACAAAAAGAUUUUCUUUCAAUCCUUUCAUUUCCU
rnacentral:lncRNA from 1 species